GGAGCCUGAUGCAGCAACGCCGCGUGCGGGAUGACGGCCUUCGGGUUGUAAACCGCUUUCGCCUGUGACGAAGCGUGAGUGACGGUAAUGGGUAAAGAAGCACCGGCUAACUACGUGCCAGCAGCCGCGGUGAUACGUAGGGUGCGAGCGUUGUCCGGAUUUAUUGGGCGUAAAGGGCUCGUAGGUGGUUGAUCGCGUCGGAAGUGUAAUCUUGGGGCUUAACCCUGAGCGUGCUUUCGAUACGGGUUGACUUGAGGAAGGUAGGGGAGAAUGGAAUUCCUGGUGGAGCGGUGGAAUGCGCAGAUAUCAGGAGGAACACCAGUGGCGAAGGCGGUUCUCUGGGCCUUUCCUGACGCUGAGGAGCGAAAGCGUGGGGAGCGAACAGGCUUAGAUACCCUGGUAGUCCACGCUGUAAACGGUGGGUACUAGGUGUGGGGUCCAUUCCACGGGUUCCGUGCCGUAGCUAACGCUUUAAGUACCCCGCCUGGGGAGUACGGCCGCAAGGCUAAAACUCAAAGGAAUUGACGG
rnacentral:rRNA from 1 species